ACAAAACUCAUCUGCGCAUGCUCAGGAAUGGUAACACCACGUGUCAAUCGGGUACACGUGCCGGUCUACGUGAGAGAUAACUGUUAAGGCACUUAAUCUCUUCCUUAUGUAAAGUAAUCGAAGGCUGACUCACGCACGCACUUCCACCAUUAUAGAUAUGCCAUGCCUUGCAGCCAGUAAAACUCAAGCCUUCGGUAGUUAAGCAACGUGCGGUUGACCUCUUGUCAAGACAUAAUAUUGAUAGGCUUGUCUGUAAUAUCAAGAAAGCUAAAUCCCUCACCUUAGAACUGUUUUUCUCGGCCAAGACCCAUAAACAAGAAAUUCCUUUUCGUGCUAUAGUGUCAAAGAAAGGGACGUGGCAGGUCUGUGUCGCUAGUUACCUACAGAACUGCCUAGCUUCACUAGUUUUUUCAGACGCCUUUUGCCUACGUAAUUCUCAGGCACUAGAUCAGUAUUUGAGAGAGGAAAAUCCUGGUGACUGUACACCUUUUAGUAUGGAUAUCGAAGACCUGUAUUAUUCCUUGCCGCAUGACGGGUUGCUAAAUUCCGUAAAUGAGUGCAUUAAAGAACAAGUGCAAGAGUCGGCUUUUAUUGACAGAUGCGGUGUUUCCACGGGAGCUUUUCCAGAAAUUCACUCAAUGUACUUGAAGUCAACGGUGAUUGGGUGGAGAAAUGGCGUUUUUCUGCAGAAAUCAGGCAUUUGUAUUGGCUCAAAGGUUGCCCCUAUUCUUAGCAACAUUUACCUGAAAAAGGUUGACAACUGCUUAGAGAAAGCCUUAGGUGAUAGCGUUAUCAAGAUAUUUCGUUACGUUGAUGAUUACCUGAUUCUGCAAUAGGGAAGAAUUCGAUUCCGCUGCUACCUCAGUGAGUGAGCAAUUUAAACUUUGUGGGGGAGGACUAAAGUUUACCAAGGAAUUUCCUCAGCGACGCGUAAUUCAGUUUCUUGACAUUUCCUUGAUCUUCGAACAAAAUCAUGUUUGUUGGCAGUACUCCCCAAGAUCUUCGAAGCCGUUUCUAAACUUUCAAUCCAAGCAUUCUAAAUUAGUAAAAAACGGAAUUGCCAUGUCGUGCCUAAAGUCUUCCCUCACCAGAUCCUGCAUGCACAACAUGAGCGCCAGUUUUAAUGCGCAGGUCCGGCGCCUAUUAGAAGCAGAUUAUCCUCGUGUGGUGGUGGCCACUGUGGCUGAGCGCCUAAAGAAGUCGGUAUCGAGAGGGACGGACGUGAUUACAGAAAGCAGUAAUAGCAAAAAAAAAUAGUAGUGGCUAUUCCGUAUAUUCAUUCAGUGUCGCACAGGCUUAAAAAACUUGCUAGUAGAUAUGAUAUUAAUGUUGCUUUCACUGCUCCCAAUAAGCUAGGUAAGAUAUGCGCUGACGUACAGAAUAAAAAGGAGCGGGUAAAAGGCAAAAAACGAACAGAUAUUUGUCCAGUGAAGCACAAUAAGAACAACAGUUUUACUGACUGUCGUAUGGGUGUGGUUUGUAAAAUUCCCCUUAGCUGUGGCCAGUUCUACGUAGGGCAAACAGGACGGUGUAUCAAUCAGAGGCUAAUGGAACAUAUAAUGUUGUUAACCGGUGGAUCGCCUUCUAAUCUUUCGCUACAUUGCCGAGAUUGUAACUGCACGCCAGAGUUAGAUGAAUGCGCGAUAUUGUACAGGCACAAGAAUGAAGAUACGCGUCUUAUGGUAGAGGCAUGGCAUAUCUAUAAUGGUGGAAGUGCGUGCGCGAGUCAGCCAUCGAUUACUUUACAUAAGGAAGAGAUUAAGUGCCUUAACAGUUAUCUCUCACGUAGACCGGCACGUGUACCCGAUUGACACGUGGUGUUACCAUUCCUGAGCAUGCGCAGAUGAGUUUUGUGUCUUCGUUCUUUUUUCGCCUCAGUGCUCCCUUCAGUUGAUAGUCGGCGUUCGUGUUGUCUACUUCUCUACUUUUGUGUCCUGUCUGCACGCCUCACUUCUAUUUUGCAUAAUGAAUCAUUACCAACUUUCUCAGCUUUCUGUCGUUCUAAGAUCCUUUUCUCACGUUUUUCAUGGCUCGUCAUGAAGUGCGUACUCGAGGACCACCUCACGGCUGGCCUCGUCAAAGCCAUGCGACAACAGCAGGUGAAGUCGGUAUCAGCGUGCCUGGGGGUUCGAGGCCAUGGCACAGCGCCGAGCAUUGCAUGCAUGAAGAAGGGUGAAGAGGAACUUGCCGAAGUACAAGUCAUCGUCAUCAGCAGCAGCAGGAGCAGCAGCAGCAGCAGCCGCAGCAGCAGCCUAGUUACGCCCACGGCAGGGCAAAGGCCUCUCCCAUACUUCACCAACUCAAGUUCAAGUGGCUGAGGAGUUCUUUAGAAAUUUAUACAGUACCAGUGGCACCCACGACGCUAAUAGAACAGAGAAUAGUCUAGAGGAAUUUGAAAUCCCACAAGUAACGCCGGAAGAAGUAAAGAAAGCCUUAGGAGAUAUGCAAAGGGGGAAGGCAGCUGGGGAGGAUCAGGUAACAGCAGAUUUGUUGAACGAUAGUUGGCAGAUUGUUCAAGAAAAACUGGCCACCCUGUAUAUGGAUGUCUCAUGACUUCGAGCGUAUCUGAAUCUUGGAAGAACACUAACAUAAUCCUAAUGUACAAGAAAGGGGAUGCCAAAGACCUGAAAAAUUAAAGACCGAUCAGCUUACUGUCCGUUGCCUACAAAGUAUUUAUUAAGGUAAUUGUAUAUAGAAUCAGGAACGCCUUAGACUUCCGUCAACCAAAGGACCAGGCAGGAUUCCGUAAAGGCUACUCAACAAUAUACCAUAUUCACACUAUCAAUCAGGUGAUAGAUAAAUGUGCGGAAUAUAACCAACCCUUAUAUAUAGCUUUCAUUGACUACGAGAAAGCAUUUGAUUCAGUCGAAACCUCAGCAGUCAUGCAGACAUUACGGAAUCAGGGUGUAGACGAGCCGUAUCUAAAAAUACUGAAAGAUAUCUAUAGCGGCUGCACAGCCACCGUAGUCCUCCAUAAAGAAGGCAACAUGAUCACAAUGAAGGAGACAGGCAGAGAGAUACGAUCUCUCCAAUGCUAUUGACAGCGUGUUUAAAGGAGAUAUUCAGAGACCUGGAUUGGGAACAAUUGCGUAUAAGAGCUAAUGGAGAAUACCUUAGUGACUUGUGAUUCGCUGAUGAUAUUGCCUUGCUUAGUAACUCAGGGGACCGAUUGCAAUGCAAGCUCACUGACCUAGAGAGGCAAAGCAGAAGGGUGGGAAAAAAUUAAUCUGCAGAAACCUAAUGUAAUGUUUAACAGUCUCGGAAGAGAACAGCUAGAUGAUUAUAGUCUUUUAUAUAUGAGAUGAUACAGCCAACCAUGUGAUGUGAAAUGAACAAGUGAGAAUUCAAUUAACACGUGUCAUUAACAGGUGACGCAAGCAGCGCAGCAGCUUGUUCGCACAAGUGUCCUCAGUUAUCCAACGGGUAUAGUCUGCUAGAACAUAACCCUUCAGUUUGGUGGCCUGCCUGAGUGGUGUCGUGCGUGGUAUGUCGAGUUACAGGGUGUCAUGUGCGUAGUGCGCGACACGGUGCGGUGGUUGGAGAGGACAAGAAGCAGACGACAAGUAGUGCGCGCCGAGGCGAAUUCCGUGCUGGCUGGAUAGAAAACGACAAUGUCGAAGAGCGUCCCGCACGUGAACACGCGGCGCAAAAGAAGAAACUAAAAGAAAAAAUGCAACCCAAUCAGAAGAAACCACGGAGCAUCAAACAGCCAAUGAGCAAACGACGAAUCGGCCAGAGCGGCAGAAAAGCCAGGCGCGCUGGCAGGACGAGAGGAGACGCGGGAAGAGUUCCAGGAAGCGACGCCAGAAGGCCGGCCACCAGAGCGGGCGUUGAAGACGGGCCGUCGUGUACCAGACCCGAGCCACCUGGACUUCGCCCGGCCGGGGCCUCAUGCCAACCCGUUCCUGUGCGACGCCACUCUAUUCGAUCGUUAACCUCUGCCCGAGGUCGGCGACCCCUGCGCCCGCGGGCAGAACGAGAGCAGCCGGGCUACAGGCCCGAGUUCCACGCACAGCUGCCUGGCCAGAACGCAGCAUGCCUUUCCUCUGCAAGCCAGAAUGCCGCGCUCUGGUCGCCCGGUCAACGGUCCGACAUCCCGACCUUUGACGUUCAACGCUUGGUCCUCCGUCUUGCAUACCUACUUUGCGAGGCCUGGGCUUCGAGAGGUAUGGGAUCAGGGCUGGAUCCCCAGCAGCCCGGUACCACCGCCGCUGGCCAGAACGAGUAGUUCGCGGCAGCAUCUUCUCGAAGCUGAUGAGUACUUUGCGAGGCCUGGGCUUCGAGAGGUAUGGGAUCAGGGCUGGAUCCCCAGCAGCCCGGUACCACCGCCGCUGGCCAGAACGAGUCGUUCGCGGCAGCAUCUUCUCGAAGCUGAUAAGUUGGGGCCAGAAGGGCAUACCAUACUGGACGGAGGUCGCAGUGAGGCUGAUGGGGGCCGAACUGUUUGUCAUUAUAUUCAGUCUAUGUGGCCAUUCACCCUCCCGCUGUUCACCAUUAUCUUUGUGUUCAAUAAAGUGACCGAAUCAGUA